AUCGGAGGUGCCUCAGCCAUGGCAUGGAUCCCUCUCUUCCUCGGCGUCCUUGCUUACUGCACAGGAUCCGUGGCCUCCUAUGAGCUGACUCAGCCACCCUCAGUGUCCGUGUCCCCAGGACAGACAGCCAGCAUCACCUGCUCUGGAGAUAAAUUGGGGGAUAAAUAUGCUUGCUGGUAUCAGCAGAAGCCAGGCCAGUCCCCUGUGCUGGUCAUCUAUCAAGAUAGCAAGCGGCCCUCAGGGAUCCCUGAGCGAUUCUCUGGCUCCAACUCUGGGAACACAGCCACUCUGACCAUCAGCGGGACCCAGGCUAUGGAUGAGGCUGACUAUUACUGUCAGGCGUGGGACAGCAGCACUGCACACAGACUCUGACCCCCUGCCCCUCAUCCACCCCGCAGGUCAGCCCAAGGCUGCCCCCUCGGUCACUCUGUUCCCGCCCUCCUCUGAGGAGCUUCAAGCCAACAAGGCCACACUGGUGUGUCUCAUAAGUGACUUCUACCCGGGAGCCGUGACAGUGGCCUGGAAGGCAGAUAGCAGCCCCGUCAAGGCGGGAGUGGAGACCACCACACCCUCCAAACAAAGCAACAACAAGUACGCGGCCAGCAGCUAUCUGAGCCUGACGCCUGAGCAGUGGAAGUCCCACAGAAGCUACAGCUGCCAGGUCACGCAUGAAGGGAGCACCGUGGAGAAGACAGUGGCCCCUACAGAAUGUUCAUAGGUUCUCAACCCUCACCCCCCACCACGGGAGACUAGAGCUGCAGGAUCCCAGGGGAGGGGUCUCUCCUCCCACCCCAAGGCAUCAAGCCCUUCUCCCUGCACUCAAUAAACCCUCAAUAAAUAUUCUCAUUGUCA
rnacentral:lncRNA from 1 species